rnacentral:sRNA from 1 species
UGUCUCUGAAUUUCUCACCAAAACGAGAC